rnacentral:rRNA from 1 species
UACGGGGGGUGCAAGCGUUGUUCGGAAUUAUUGGGCGUAAAGAGCGUGUAGGCGGCUGAAUAAGUCAGAUGUGAAAUCCCUGGGCUUAACCCAGGAAGUGCAUUUGAAACUAUUCAGCUUGAGUAGGGGAGAGGAAAGUGGAAUUCCUGGUGUAGAGGUGAAAUUCGUAGAUAUCAGGAGGAACACCGGUGGCGAAGGCGACUUUCUGGCCCUAUACUGACGCUGAGACGCGAGAGCGUGGGUAGCAAACAGGAUUAGAUACCCUAGUAGU